CAGCCGCCGCGGUAAUACCGGCGGCCCGAGUGGCGGCCACUAUUAUUGGGCUUAAAGCGUCCGUAGCCGGGUUGGUUAGUCUCCCGGGAAAUCUGGCCGCUUAACGGUCAGAAUGCCGGAGGAUACUCCCAGCCUAGGGAGCGGGAGAGGCCGAGGGUAUUCCCGGAGUAGGGGUGAAAUCCUAUAAUCCCGGGAGGACCACCUGUGGCGAAGGCGCUCGGCUGGAACGCGUCCGACGGUGAGGGACGAAGGCCAGGGGAGCAAACCGGAUUAGAUACCCGGGUAGUCCUGGCUGUAAACGAUGCGGACUUUGUGUCGGACAAGCUAUGAGCUGGUCCGGUGCCGGAGGGAAACCGUUAAGUCCGCCGCCUGGGGAGUACGGCCGCAAGGCUGAAACUUAAAGGAAUUGGCGGG
rnacentral:rRNA from 1 species